AGAGUUUGAUCCUGGCUCAGAACGAACGCUGGCGGCAUGCCUAACACAUGCAAGUCGAACGAAGGCUUCGGCCUUAGUGGCGCACGGGUGCGUAACGCGUGGGAAUCUGCCCUUAGGUACGGAAUAACUCAGGGAAACUUGAGCUAAUACCGUAUAAUGACUCCGGUCCAAAGAUUUAUCGCCUAAGGAUGAGCCCGCGUCGGAUUAGCUAGUUGGUGAGGUAAAAGCUCACCAAGGCGACGAUCCGUAGCUGGUCUGAGAGGAUGAUCAGCCACACUGGGACUGAGACACGGCCCAGACUCCUACGGGAGGCAGCAGUGGGGAAUAUUGGACAAUGGGCGAAAGCCUGAUCCAGCAAUGCCGCGUGAGUGAUGAAGGCCUUAGGGUUGUAAAGCUCUUUUACCCGGGAUGAUAAUGACA
rnacentral:rRNA from 1 species